rnacentral:rRNA from 1 species
AGAGUUUGAUCCUGGCUCAGGAUGAACGCUGGCGGCGUGCCUAACACAUGCAAGUCGAACGGAAAGCUUGCUUUCGAAUGAGCGGAGAGUGGCGCACGGGUGAGUAACACGUAGCUUAUCUGCCCUGAAGACGGGGAUAACCCACGGAAACGUGGGCUAAUACCCGAUAAGCUCACACUGCUUAGUAAGGUGUGAGAAAAGCUCCGGCGCUUUGGGAUGAGGCUGCGGCCCAUCAGCUUGUUGGUAAGGUAAUGGCUUACCAAGGCUACUACGGGUAGGGGACCUGAGAGGGUGACCCCCCACACUGGGACUGAGACACGGCCCAGACUCCUACGGGAGGCAGCAGUGAGGAAUAUUGCGCAAUGGACGAAAGUCUGACGCAGCAACGCCGCGUGGGUGAUGAAGGCCUUCGGGUCGUAAAGCCCUUUUCUUAGUGACGAGUACGGACGGUAACUGAGGAAUAAGUGUCGGCUAACUACGUGCCAGCAGCCGCGGUAAAACGUAGGACGCAAGCGUUAUCCGGAAUUACUGGGCGUAAAGCGCGUGCAGGCGGGACAACAAGUCAGCCGUGAAAGCUCCCGGCUAAACUGGGAGAGGUCGGUUGAAACUGUUGUUCUUGAGGAUGUCAGAGGUAUGUGGAAUUCCACGUGUAGUGGUGAAAUGCGUAGAUAUGUGGAGGAACACCAGUGGCGAAGGCGGCAUACUGGGGCAUCACUGACGCUGAGACGCGAAAGCAUGGGUAGCGAACGGGAUUAGAAACCCCGGUAGUCCAUGCCGUAAACGAUGUACACUAAACGUUCGUAGGGCCACGUGUCCUAUGAGUGUUGAAGCUAACGCGAUAAGUGUACCGCCUGGGGAGUACGGUCGCAAGGCUAAAACUCAAAGGAAUUGACGGGGGCCCGCACAAGCAGCGGAGCGUGUGGUUUAAUUCGAGGCUACGCGAAAAACCUUACCUGGGUUUGAAAUCAUAGUGUUAGGUCUGGGAAAUCAGAUUGACCUUCGGGAGCUAUGACAGGUGCUGCAUGGCUGUCGUCAGCUCGUGUCGUGAGAUGUUCGGUUAAGUCCGAAAACGAGCGCAACCCCUAUUGUUAGUUACAUGUGUCUAACGAGACUGCCUGCGGCAAGCAGGAGGAAGGUGGGGAUGACGUCAAGUCAGCAUGGUCUUUAUGUCCAGGGCUACACACACGCUACAAUGGCGCGUACAAUGGGUCGCUAAACCGCGAGGUGGAGCCAAUCCUCUAAAGCGCGUCCUAGUUCGGAUUGCAGGCUGCAACUCGCCUGCAUGAAGUCGGAGUUGCUAGUAACCGCAAAUCAGCACGUUGCGGUGAAUACGUUCCCGGGCCUUGUACACACCGCCCGUCACGUCACGGGAGUUGGUCACGCCUGUAGUCGAGAAGCUAACCGCAAGGAGGCUAUCGCCGAAGGCAGGGCCGAUGACUGGGACGAAGUCGUAACAAGGUA